rnacentral:ncRNA from 1 species
UCCGCUCUAACGGGGUGCCCGGUGAUCCGACCGGGCUGAGAGGCCAGACGGCCAACCCGAAGAACCUGAUCCGGUUUGUACCGGCGGAGGGAUUAGACGUGCUUCCCGC